AAUCAGUGGAUCUGCACCCAACGGAACCAUGGAUCCUUGCAAGCCUUUACUCUGGCAGUGUAUGCAUCUGGGACUAUCAAUCACAGACAAUGGCAAAAUCAUUUGAGGUUACAGAGUUGCCUGUUCGAUCAGCAAAAUUUAUAGCUCGCAAGCAGUGGGUUGUAGCUGGAGCAGAUGACAUGUUCAUUCGUGUUUAUAAUUAUAAUACAAUGGACAAAGUCAAAGUUUUUGAGGCGCACACGGAUUACAUCAGAUGUGUGGCCGUUCAUCCAACACUUCCAUAUGUACUGUCAUCAUCCGACGACAUGUUAAUAAAACUUUGGGAUUGGGAGAAGGGAUGGAUGUGCACUCAGAUUUUUGAGGGACACUCCCACUAUAUUAUGCAAGUCACGAUUAAUCCAAAAGACACAAAUACUUUCGCUAGUGCCUCACUUGAUCGUACAAUAAAGAUAUGGAAUCUCGGAUCUCCUGAUCCGAAUUUUACAUUGGAUGCUCAUAUGAAGGGAGUAAAUUGUGUUGACUACUUUACUGGGGGUGAUAGGCCUUAUCUUAUUACUGGUUCUGAUGAUCAAACAGCUAAGGUCUGGGACUACCAAACCAAGAGCUGUGUCCAGACACUAGAAGGGCAUACACACAAUGUUUCCUCAGUCUGUUUUCACCCAGAGCUUCCCAUAAUAAUAACUGGGUCGGAGGAUGGAACUAUUCGGAUAUGGCAUGCAACAACUUACAGGCUCGAGAACACACUAAACUAUGGCUUGGAGCGGGUUUGGGCAAUUGGAUACAUGAAAGGAUCGAGGAGAGUGGUCAUUGGGUAUGAUGAAGGAAGUAUCAUGAUAAAACUUGGCCGGGAGGUACCAGUUGCCAGUAUGGACAGCAGUGGGAAGGUUAUAUGGGCCAAGCAUAAUGAAAUUCAAACUGUGAAUAUUAAGAGUGUUGGAUCAGAUAUCGAGGUUAUUGACGGAGAAAGACUUCCUUUGGCUGUCAAGGAGUUGGGAAGCUGUGACCUUUACCCCCAAAGUUUGAAGCAUAAUCCAAAUGGAAGAUUUGUUGUUGUUUGCGGAGAUGGUGAAUAUAUUAUUUAUACUGCUUUGGCUUGGAGAAAUAGAUCCUUUGGUUCUGCUUUGGAAUUUUGUUGGUCUUCUGAGGGCGAAUAUGCAGUGCGAGAGAGCACAUCAAAAAUAAAGAUUUUUGGUAAAAAUUUCCAGGAGAAGAAGAGCAUACGACCAACCUUUUCAGCUGAGCGUAUUUUUGGGGGAACUCUACUGGCAAUGUGUUCUAACGAUUUUAUUUGUUUUUAUGAUUGGUCAGAGUGCAGACUGAUACGUCGUAUUGAUGUUAAUGUUAAGAAUCUUUAUUGGGCAGAUAGUGGUGAUCUGAUUGCCAUUGCAAGUGACACAUCAUUCUAUAUUCUGAAGUACAAUAGAGAAGUAGUUUCUUCUUAUCUGGAUAGUGGAGCAUCUGCAGACGACCAAGGCGUUGAGGAUGCUUUUGAACUUCAGCAUCAAAUAAAUGAGAGGGUUCGAACUGGUAUCUGGGUUGGAGAUUGUUUCAUCUAUAAUAACUAUUCCUGGAGACUGAAUUAUUGUGUUGGUGGAGAGGUUACAACAAUGUUUCACUUGGACCGGCCUAUGUAUUUACUUGGAUAUCUAGCCAAUCAGAGUAAGGUGUAUCUCAUUGAUAAGGAAUUCAAUAUCAUUGGGUACUCAUUACUCCUUAGUUUGAUUGAGUAUAAAACCCUGGUUAUGCGUGGAGAUUUCAAUCGCGCAGCUGAAGUGCUACCAUCGAUUCCCAAUGAACAUUUGAACAGUGUUGCUCAUUUCUUGGAGUCUCGGGGAAUGAAGGAAGAUGCUUUGGAAGUAGCCACAGAUGCCAAUUACAAAUUUGAUCUGGCAAUACAGCUUGGACGACUUGAUAUUGCAAAGGCCAUUGCUAUUGAAGCUCAGAGUGAAUCAAAAUGGAAAGAGUUGGGCAAGCUAGCGAUGUCAUCUGGAAAGUUAGAAUUGGCUGAGGAAUGCUUGUCUAAUGCAAUGGAUCUGAGUGGCUUAUUGCUUCUUUACUCAUCACUUGGAGACGCAGAAGGAAUAACAAAACUUGCUUCACUUGCUAAAAAACGUGGAAAGAACAAUGUUGCCUUCCUUUGUCUAUUUAUGCUAGGAAAACUGGAAGAGUGUAUUUGGCUAUUAAUUGAGAGUAAUCGGAUUCCAGAGGCUGCAUUGAUGGCACGAUCAUAUCUACCAAGCAAAGUAUCUGAGAUUGUAGAAAUUUGGAAAAAUGAUCUUAAUAAGGUCAAUCCCAAAGCAGCUGAGUCAUUGGCUGAUCCUGCUGAUUACCCCAAUCUUUUUGAGGACUGGCAGGUUGCUCUUGCAGUUGAGUCAAGUCUUACUCUGACAAGGGGUACCUAUCCUCCUGCUGAGGAAUACUUGAGUCAUGUUGACAAUUUGAAUGUCAAUCUUGUGGAAUCUUUCAAAAAUAUGAAAAUGGAUGAUGAUUUACCCCUUGAAAAUGGAGAGUCUGGCAAUGAGGUAGCACAAAUGAGUGAAGAAGAAGAUGGCCCUGAGGAAGCUGUCCAAGUUGAAGCUGAGGAUUCAACGGAGGGCACUGUCUUUGUAAAUGGGGAUGACGGUGAAGAAGAGUAUGGUAUGAAUGAUGAAGGAACUCGGUCAGCCUAAAGGAAUUAGUUCGCUGAAGUGUAAAAGUGCAAAUUUUGUUUCUGUUCUAACUCCGCGACAUCAAUGAUCCAUCAAUUGGAGGCCAAUCUUAAAGAUGCCGAAGGAAUGCGGAGCCACAUUGUCAUACGCAUAUGGAUCAAAAAUCUUCAUAUUGUGGCCGCUGAAGGAUUCACAGAGACGUUCGAUUUUCAUUCUGUUGAGCCAAUUUCAUUUGUCAUAUUUUAUUUAUAAAACUUUAUAGUUCCAAGAGUAUAUGAGUGAUAAUGUUGCAGGUUCAUGAUGAUUUUUUAACCUUCUGUAGAAAUAAUUUUGAACAGCUUUUCAUAUUGUUUUUCAAUUCAGUGAAGAAGUUGUGCUAAUGCUCCUAAA